rnacentral:lncRNA from 1 species
GGGACAUAUUUCUCCCUCCUUCUAGGAAUGAAUGAAGCACGAAACCUCCCCAGACCCAAAUUUGAAAGGUUCUAGGAGCAGCACUGUCUCACUGAAGCAGUACAAGUUUGAUUUCCAGAACAUCAGCCUGAGGACAGGAGCACCCACAAAAGAAAGGAAGCCAGGUGAGAAGCCAGGAAAGAGGAGAUAAUAUCUGGAUUCCAUUGGUGGAGAAGUUCAGUGCACUGAUAAUGAUACUUUUGACCUUGCACCUGCAAUCAAGACCAAUGUUGAAGGGUAGUUGCACAUGUGAAAUGUUGAAAUGUUGUGAAAUGACAGUGUUCUGCAUUCCCUGCAACAAAUGAACAGUCAGAAGAGUAGGAAGUCUUGUAAGUGAGGUAAUGUGUUUCUGAAGUGUGCUAUUUUAAAAGUAAAUACUGACCUCAUGGUCUUAGAAGUGCAAGAGAUGGAUUAGCUGUGAAAGAAAGGUCUUUCACCUUUGUCUCUUUAGUAAGAAUCCAGUAUGUAUGAGCAGAGACUGAAGGCUUAUUAAUUUGUAAACUUCUUCAUAAGACUUAUGUGAAGUGAAGCAAUGGACUCAGAAUCUAAUUUGGAUUAAAAGGGAUCUCUUGAGGUUAUCUG